rnacentral:lncRNA from 1 species
GAAUACUGUAUAGCUACAAUGUAUCAACAUAUCCAACAUAACUGGAGAACGUGUUGAAUACUGUAUAGCUACAAUGUAUCAACAUAUCCAACAUAACUGGAGAACGUGUUGAACACUGUAUAGCUACAAUGUAUCAACAUAUCCAACAUAACUGGAGAACGUGUUGAAUACUGUAUAGCUACAAUGUAUCAACAUAUCCAACAUAACUGGAGAACGUGUUGAAUACUGUAUAGCUACAAUGUAUCAACAUAUCCAACAUAACUGGAGAACGUGUUGAAUACUGUAUAGCUACAAUGCAAUGAACUCACGUCAGCUAGCUAACUGUCAAAUACACGGCUAAUGUUAGCAAGCUAACCAGUUAGUUAAAUGUAUUUAACAACUUAUGACUUUUGUUCACCACUUAAUAAUUGACAACAGACCGAAAAACAGGCGAAGACAACCAGCAAGUUCAUGAUCAAGUUCAUCCAGACAAAAGUGGUCGACUUGUGUUUUGCACAAACUUACCCGAAUCUCCGGGGGUUUUCAUUUUGAGUGUUGCAAGCUAGUUAACGUUAGCUAGCGAGCUUGAUGGAUCUCAAGUCAGUAGCGUUUGUGGAAGGAAAAGUCUGAGCUCUUCCUUUGGUUCGGAUUGGAAAAACGAGGGAGGAACAAGCUAACGUUAAACUUUCCACCGUUGCUCCACUCGCGGGCCCCUUUGCUUCCACUUUCUUUCCCAAUACACCCUUCCCCAACUGUAGCGAUCGAGGUAACGUUACUUUCCCGAAUCGCAUUCAGUUGAUGUAGCUCACUGCUGUUUGUCCCACGGCAACUUGGGCUUGUCCUGUUCGAGGUGCAGCGGAACACGGUCAACCGUCCCGACAAGCACACGAACCGAAAACCCUUCUUUCCUUGUUUGCAUAUACUUUCACGAACUGUCGAGUUGUUUACUCCAUCUCAAUCGCAUCUUCCCCGUUGUUUGACAUAUCGUCGCUAAAAUAACCGUUCUGUAGAAUAGCAGUCGGCCUCUCUUUAGACUUUCUUUCUUCCUCCACUCACUAACAUUCUGUACUCUGUGGCUACUCUUUCUCCUCCCCCCGGUUCCUCUCUCUCGGGUGUCGUGUUUCGCUCUCUCCUCACCGGGCCGCCCACACGGAGAGGGAGAGGGGGGCUCUAAGGGGCGGGUCACACCCACUCACCACGAGCCAGGGUGGCGUCACUGCUGCGGCGUCGCCAUAGAGACCGCCACAGCGACACUGCCGUGGUGACAUCAUAUCCGCGUCCUACGAUUCUAGGCCGUCAUCACGUCCUUUUACGUCAAUCGCAGCUAUUCUUCAGGAGGGCAGGAACUCACUCUGUUUUCCCAGAUAAGCAUCAGAGAGCUGGGAGAGAGGUUCUAUCUGGGACGCAGCAUUCCCAAAUCCAGGAAACAGCGAGCACCAUCCCGUCCUGUCUCUUCCUGAGCAGAAGGGCCAGCCUUGUGUUUUCCCACGCCAGUAGUCCCUGUCAACCACAUUUAGUGGAACAUUAGCCACAGCAUUGUUUUCUUGCCCCCCUCUUUCUCUUUCUGUCUCUCUCUCACUCUUCAUCUCUGUCCUCACUCACUUUCUCUGCCUAUGUCUCUCUAGUCUUAUCUCUUUCAUUCUGUUGUCCUCUCUUUGUCCAUCCACCUCUCCUCCUAUCUCCAUAUCGCUCUUUCAUUUGAAGAGCACUUCAGCAUCCCCCAAGCUCUUCACAGAGGAAGUAUGGUUGGAGAGAGAAGCGAGAGAUGAAGAAUAAAGAAAAAGAAGUCUCUCCGUUCCUAAUGGGAAUGACAGACAGACGCUGUGGAGAGAAAGACAGAAAGAACCGGGACACUGGAGCACCCCACAAACAUCACCCCCUGACCCCCU